rnacentral:misc_RNA from 1 species
UGUAUAUGAAAAUGUUACUGGCACUCUGCCUUUUGGAGUACUAUUUUGUAUUUUUGAAGUGGAUAUGAGGUGGUUUCAUUUAUAUCUGCGGAGGUGCUGUCUUCCUUUUGCAGAAUGCCUAUUUGUUGUUGACAGUCAAGUGGAAAGUUUCACCAAAUUGAUGACGGGGGUUUUAAAUUUUGAAGUUAUUAAUUGAAGUCUAGCUGCUUGUAUAGGACAAAUUCAGUG